UACAGAGGUCCCAAGCGUUGUUCGGAUUCAUUGGGCGUAAAGGGUGCGUAGGUGGCGCUGUAAGUCGGGUGUGAAAUUUCGGAGCUUAACUCCGAAACUGCAUUCGAUACUGCGGUGCUCGAGGACUGGAGAGGAGACUGGAAUUUACGGUGUAGCGGUGAAAAUGCGUAGAUAUCGUAAGGAAGACCAGUGGCGAAGGCGGGUCUCUGGACAGUUCCUGACGCUGAGGCACGAAGGCCAGGGGAGCAAACGGG
rnacentral:rRNA from 1 species